AUUGAACGCUGGCGGCAGGCCUAACACAUGCAAGUCGAGCGGAUGAAGGGAGCUUGCUCCUGGAUUCAGCGGCGGACGGGUGAGUAAUGCCUAGGAAUCUGCCUGGUAGUGGGGGAUAACGUCCGGAAACGGGCGCUAAUACCGCAUACGUCCUGAGGGAGAAAGUGGGGGAUCUUCGGACCUCACGCUAUCAGAUGAGCCUAGGUCGGAUUAGCUAGUUGGUGGGGUAAAGGCCUACCAAGGCGACGAUCCGUAACUGGUCUGAGAGGAUGAUCAGUCACACUGGAACUGAGACACGGUCCAGACUCCUACGGGAGGCAGCAGUGGGGAAUAUUGGACAAUGGGCGAAAGCCUGAUCCAGCCAUGCCGCGAGUGUGAAGAAGGUCUUCGGAUUGUAAAGCACUUUAAGUUGGGAGGAAGGGCAGUAAGUUAAUACCUUGCUGUUUUGACGUUACCAACAGAAUAAGCACCGGCUAACUUCGU
rnacentral:rRNA from 1 species